rnacentral:rRNA from 1 species
GACGAACGCUGGCGGCGUGCUUAACACAUGCAAGUCGAACGAAGUAGCGAACGGGUGAGUAACACGUGAGUAACCUGCCUUAGACAUUGGGAUAGCCUCGGGAAACCGGGAUUAAUACCAAAUGGUCUAAGAUGGCUUCGCGUCCCAUUAGCUAGUUGGUGGGUCACUGCCCACCAAGGCGACGAUGGGUAACCGGCCUGAUAGGGUGAACGGCCACAUUGGAACUGAGAAACGGUCCAAACUCUCCGGGAGGCAGCAGUGGGGAAUAGUGCACAAUGGAGGAAACCCUGAUGCAGCAACGCCGCGUGCGGGAUGACGGCCUUCGGGUUGUAAACCGCUUUCAGCCAUGACGCGGUAGUGGCAGAAGAAGCACCGGCGAACUACGUGCCAGCAGCCGCGGUAAUUC